rnacentral:lncRNA from 1 species
AAUACCUGAAACUAAGCAAUGGAUAAAGAAGAAAAACGUAUUUCAUGUAAUUCUGGAGGCUUGGGAAAUCAAGGUCAAGAGGGAACAUCUGGUGAGAGCCUUCUUGCUGACAGAGUCUGUCACCAGGCUGGAGUGCAGUGGUGUGAUCUCGGUUCACUGUAACCUCUGCCUCCCAGGUUUCAAGCAAUUCUCCUGCCUCAGCCUCCCAAGUAGCUAGGACUACAGGCAUGCACCACCAUGCCCAGCUAAUUUUUGUAUUUUUAAUAGAAACAAGGUUUCACCAUGUUGGCCAGGGUGGUCUCAAUCUCCUGACUUCGUGAUCCACCCACCUUGGCCUCCCAAAGUGCUGAGAUUAUAGGCGUGAGCCACUGUACUCAGCCAUAUCUUUUUAAUUCGCGUAUUAAAUUCCAUUUGGAAUUCAUAUUCAUGUUUGAAAUUAGGAAGAGGUUUAACUAUAUACACACACAAAACACACAUUGACAUAUAUUUACAAAUAAACAAUUGUAUAAAUUCCUUUAUUGAAAAACUCGUAUUUUCCAAGUUGGUUGAGUCACCAUUAUCAUAUAUUAAAUGAUCAUACAUGUAUGGUUCUGCUUAUAUUUAUUUCUCUACACUAGGUAGAAUAUUUAAUAAUGUUGGAACAGAUACCACUGUCUUGUUCUGGCCUUAUUAAAAAUGUCUUUAUACUCGAGAAGCAAUAUGAUGUUUGAUAUUGAUCUUAGAUAAUUAUGUUUCAUAAUAUUCAGAAAUUCAUUUAGUCCAAUUGUAUCUUGGUAAUUUUAUAAAAAAUGUGUGCUGUAUAUUAUCAAUAUUUUUGUGUCUACUAUAUAUUCAUAAUUUCUCCCCAUUAUUUGCUAACUUGAUGAUAAAUGUUUGUUUUCUCAUACUUAUCCAUCCUUGAAUUGCUAAAAUUGAAUAUGUUUGGUCACAUUUUUGCAUUUCUAAUGGGGCAUGGAUACAUCUGUUACAAAUUUAGAUGCUAUAUUUAACUAUGAAAAAAUGUUUUUUAAUAAAGGACCCA